GCGUUGGUGGUUCAGUGGUACAAUUCCCACCUUCCAUGUGGGGGACCCGGGUUUGAUUCCUGGCCAAUGUA
rnacentral:tRNA from 1 species